AAGACUAUAGACCUGCGGAGUACCUGCGGAAGGAUCAUUAACAAAUCUCUUUAUGGAGAAAAUCCAUAUAUACCAUGUGAAUUUCUUUGUAUUUGAAAAUAUAAAAGUUAUUUAUAUUUUUAAAACAAAUGAUAUUAAAUUUAUAAACUAUUUAUUUAAAAUGUCUUAUAAAAUAAUUUAAAAAUUAAUACAACUUUUAACAAUGGAUCUCU
rnacentral:misc_RNA from 1 species